rnacentral:rRNA from 1 species
UUGAUUAUAUCAAAUAAAUUCUAGGUAGAUUUAGAUAAUGACAUUGACCAAAUUACGUGCCAGCAGUCGCGGUAAUACGUAAAAGACUAGUGUUAUUCAUCUUUAAUUGGUUUAAAGGGUACCUAGACAGCGAAUAAAGCCAUUGUAGGGACUAAUUCGCUAGAGUUACUUAUGAGGGGGUAUUAAAGUACUGCAGGUGUAGAGAUGAAAUUUUGUUAUACCUUUUUCGAGCGAAAAAAUAUGGCACAGGUAUAGGUGAAAGCAUCCCCUUAUGUGAUAACUGACGUUGAGGGACGAAGGCUUUGUGUGCGAACAGGAUUAGAUACCCCAGUAGUCAAAGCAGAAAAUGAUGAAUGUCAUAGAUUAGAUAAACAAUUUAUUCUAUAAAUGAAAGUGUAAGCAUUCCACCUCAAGAGUAAUUUGGCAACAUUGGAACUGAAAUCAUUAGACCGUUUCUGAAACCAGUAGUGAAGUAUGUUGUUUAAUUUGAUAAUACGCAAAAAACCUUACCACAAUUUGAAUAUUUAUAUAUAUCUUUAUUGGUUUUUACUAAUAUAUUUGUAAAUAAUCAAAAUGAUGCUUAUACCCCGUUUGUGAAACUAAGCAUCAAAAAAGAUAAUAUAUUUACAAGCGUUGCACGGCUGUCUUCAGUUAAUGUCGUGAGAUUUUGGUUAGUUCCAUUAAAUUAACGUAAACCCUUACUUUAUUUUUAUAUAAAGUAGUUCUCCGCUAUA